AGAAGGCAGAGCUUGAAAUAAUCAAGAAAUAGCAAUGUGACUGCCACUGUGCUGGGCUCUUCGCAUUCUUUAUUUUAUAGAAUUAUCACAACAACCCAACAAGGCCAUUUACAGAUGAGAAAACUGGCUUAGGAAGGAUGAGUAAGAGGCAGCUUUUCCAGCCUGGGUCUGCCUAACUCUGAAGUCCUCAAUCCUCACAGCUCAUUGCCUCCCCAGCUGGUGUUAUGAGAGGUGAGAUCACCAAGAGAUCACCAGAGACUAUCGGAGUUGGGGAAGACAGAUGGAGACUGAAUGGGAAAAGAGACCAAGAGGGAUUAUGGGAGUAUCUUUCCCUCCCCAGCUUCUCAUAGUCAUGGAUGCCGUCUGCAAACUUCCUGCAGCCAUAAGGGAAUAAAUUCUGCCAACAACCUGAGGAAGUUUGGAAUCAGAUCCUGCACUUCCCCCCACCAUCAUCCACCACCCCCAAGCUUCUGAUGAGGCCACAGCUUCAUCCAAGACCCUGAGGGUUAAAACUCGUGCUUGCUAUAGUGAUUACAACUUAAGCAAUAUUCCACUUGAAGCCGUAAAACACAAGCACACUAUGAAACGUUAAGUAUGUGCUAAUAUUAUGAAAUGAAAACAGAUAUAGUGGAAUGAAAUGGAAUGACACGGAAUGGAAGAAACAACUGUUUGGAAAAUGUGCAUAUAUGAGAAUUGGCUUAGUGUUUUGGCACCAGAGAAAGCAAAGGCUCAGAUAGGGCAGGAUGGGAAGCUGGAGAUUCCUCUUAUUCCGUGGGCAAAAUAUUUGGUAAGACUGUCCUCUCUGUGAACUUGCAUAUUAACCCAAUAUCUACCAGACCUUUAGCUCUUGGGGCAGGAGUCAGCAAACUGUGACUCAUGGCCAGUUUAGCCUGUUGUCUGUUUUUGUAAAUAAAGUUUUACUGGAACACAGCCAUGCCCAUUCAUUCACAUAUUGUCUAUGGCUGCUUAUGUACAAGAGAAGCAUUGAGUCAUUGCAAGAGAAACUAUAUGGCCCUCAAAGCCUAAAAUAUUUACUAUGUAGCCCUUUAAGAAGUUUGUCAACCCCUGAUAUAGGCAGUAGUGGGAUCUAGGCGAUGAUGGAGCUAAGAAAUGAAAGGAGCCACCCAGUA
rnacentral:lncRNA from 1 species